rnacentral:misc_RNA from 1 species
CUUCCACCUAAGCUGCGCAGGAAAGGCCCAAAGCCAAUCCCAGGGAACAGUGAAGCUUCAUAGGGUCUUUCUGUCCAGGUGCAGGUAGUCCGCAUCUUCACAGACAUGUCUAUUUCACCGAGCCUCUCUCCGAGACAGUGCCCAGAUCGUUACGCCUUUCGUGCGGGUCGGAACUUACCCGACAAGGAACUUCGCUACCUUAGGACCGUCAUAGUUACGGCCGCCGUUUACUAGGGCUUCGGUCGCAAGCUUCGCUUUCGCUAACCUUCUUCCUUAACCUACUAGCACCGGGCAGGCGUCAGACUCUAUACUUCCUCUUACGAGUUUGCAGAGUCCUGUGUUUUUGAUAAACAGUCGCUUGGGCCUAUUCACUGCGGCUCUUCUGGGCUUGCACCCUAAAGAGCACCCCUUCUCCCGAAGUUACGG